UACAGAGGUCUCAAGCGUUGUUCGGAUUCAUUGGGCGUAAAGGGUGUGUAGGUGGCGCGCUAAGUCGGGUGUGAAAUUUCGGAGCUUAACUCCGAAACUGCAUUCGAUACUGGCGUGCUUGAGGACUGGAGAGGAGACUGGAAUUCAUGGUGUAGCAGUGAAAUGCGUAGAGAUCAUGAGGAAGACCAGUGGCGAAGGCGGCGUUCUGGACUGUAACUGACACUGAGAAACGAAAGCCAGGGUAGCAAACGGG
rnacentral:rRNA from 1 species